rnacentral:lncRNA from 1 species
GCUCCUUACCUUUGGUGUGGAUCCAUUCACCAAAGUAUACCCAAUGAACAGAAGGGUGAAAGAGCUCAAAAUUUUGGCAAACCUCAUGAUAAGUUGAAGGGGUCCAGAAUAGAUGCUAGAUGUGGAAAUGUUGAUUCAUUUUUUGGGUUGGUGAUUCACCUAUUUUAUAGCAUACACGGACCAACUUAUAUGUCAUGUCACACAUAUAAAAAUAAU